rnacentral:rRNA from 1 species
ACAAGGUUUCGUAGGUGAACGUGCGGAAGGAUCAUU